rnacentral:rRNA from 1 species
UACGAAGGGGGCUAGCGUUGUUCGGAUUUACUGGGCGUAAAGCGCACGUAGGCGGCAUUGCAAGUCGGAUGUGAAAUCCCUCGGCUUAACCAAGGAAGUGCAUCCGAAACUGCAGUGCUUGAGUACUUAAGAGGAUCGCGGAAUUCCCGGUGUAGAGGUGAAAUUCGUAGAUAUCGGGAGGAACACCAGUGGCGAAGGCGGCGAUCUGGGAAGAUACUGACGCUGAGGUGCGAAAGCGUGGGGAGCAAACAGG